rnacentral:rRNA from 1 species
UACGAAGGGGGCUAGCGUUGUUCGGAAUCACUGGGCGUAAAGCGCACGUAGGCGGAUCGUUAAGUCGGGGGUGAAAUCCCAGGGCUCAACCCUGGAACUGCCUUCGAUACUGGCGAUCUUCGAGUCCGGGAGAGGUGAGUGGAACUCCGAGUGUAGAGGUGAAAUCGUAGAUAUUCGGAAGAACACCAGUGGCGAAGGCGGCUCACUGGCCCGGUACUGACGCUGAGGUGCGAAAGCGUGGGGGGGCAAACAGG